rnacentral:tRNA from 1 species
GCCUUCGUGUUGUAGUGAGCACGCUUGGCUUGUAAACGAGAGGUCCGUGGUUCGAUUCCCGAUGAAGGCG